rnacentral:rRNA from 1 species
AAUUUAUAAUAAAAAAAAAAAAAAAAAAAAGUUAGAAUCAUUGCUUAAAUAUUGAUGUAAAUAUUAUUUUUAUAACAGAAGUAGAUGGUUAGUUUAUAGUUUUAUUAGAAAUAUUUGUUAAAUUAGUUAAAUUUGUGCCAGCAUCUGCGGUUAGACUAAAAAUUUGAUUAAUAUUAUUUAGAGUUUGUAUUAUUAUAUAUUUAAGGAAUAGGUUUUGGUGAAAUAAAUUAUUUGAGGUUUAAUUAUAUUAGUCUGUAUAGGUUGUACUAAAGCAGGAUUAGAUACCCUGUUAUUUUAAUUUUUAUUGUUUCUAAGGAAUAAAGUUAAAUUUAGAAGAUUUGGCGGCUGAGGUGAAUUAAAGGAGUUUGUUUUUUAUUUGAUAAGGCGCAUUAUAUUUUACUUGCUUUUUUUAGUACACCGUCAUUUAAGGUAGUUUAUAUUUAAUUAACUGUCAUAAUGAAAUGAAGUAAGUUAGAUCAAGGUGCAGAUAUAGGCAAGGGGGAAUUAACUACAAUAGAAUAUUACUAUACUUGAAUUAUUUAUAAAUAUUGUGUAGGCGGAUUUAAUUGUAAUUAAAGUAGCAUGAAAUUGGUUUCAGUGUACAAAUUGCCCGUCAUUCUCUAUGAGACAAGUCGAAACAAAGUAGGGCUAUCGGAAGUUGGACCU